rnacentral:rRNA from 1 species
UACGUAGGGGGCAAGCGUUGUCCGGAUUCAUUGGGCGUAAAGAGCGUGUAGGCGGCCAGGUAGGUCGGUUGUGAAAACUGGAGGCUCAACCUUCAGAGGUCGACCGAAACCAUCUGGCUAGAGUCCGGGAGAGGAGAGUGGAAUUCCUGGUGUAGCGGUGAAAUGCGUUGAUAUCAGGAGGAACACCCAUGGCGAAGGCAGCAAACUGGUCGGCAUCUGACGCUGAGGCGCGAAAGCGUGGGUAGCAAACAGG